AUCGCUUCUCGGCCUUUUGGCUAAGAUCAAGUGUAGUAUCUGUUCUUAUCAGUUUAAUAUCUGAUACGUCCCCUACCCGGGGACCAUAUAUUAAAUUGAUUUUUGGAAUAGGGAGAUGGAAUAGGGGCUUGCUCCGUCCACUCCGCGCAUCGACCUGGUAUUGCAGUACCUCCAGGAACGGUGCACCCCCC
rnacentral:snRNA from 1 species